AGAGUUUGAUCAUGGCUCAGAACGAACGCUGGCGGCAUGCCUAACACAUGCAAGUCGAACGAAGCCUUCGGGCUUAGUGGCGCACGGGUGCGUAACGCGUGGGAAUCUGCCCUUGGGUUCGGAAUAACAGUUAGAAAUGACUGCUAAUACCGGAUGAUGUCUUCGGACCAAAGAUUUAUCGCCCAAGGAUGAGCCCGCGUAGGAUUAGGUAGUUGGUGGGGUAAUGGCCCACCAAGCCGACGAUCCUUAGCUGGUCUGAGAGGAUGAUCAGCCACACUGGGACUGAGACACGGCCCAGACUCCUACGGGAGGCAGCAGUGGGGAAUAUUGGACAAUGGGCGAAAGCCUGAUCCAGCAAUGCCGCGUGAGUGAUGAAGGCCUUAGGGUUGUAAAGCUCUUUACCAGGGAUGAUAAUGACAGUACCUGGAGAAUAAGCUCCGGCUAACUCCGUG
rnacentral:rRNA from 1 species